ACAACUCACCUGCCGAAUGAAUUAGCCCUGAAAAUGGAUGACGCUGAAGCGUACAGCCGACACCGCGCCGUUUUGGCAAAAAGCGACCAAAAUGAGUAGGAGGGCGUGGCGGUCUUGUGAAAAAGGUCGAGACGCGAGUCUGACUGGAACGGCCGCUAGUGCAGAUCUUGGUGGUAGUAGCAAAUAUUCAAGCGAGACCCUUGAAGGGCGAAGCGGGGAAGGGUUCCACGCGAACAUUGAUUGGGCGUGGGUGAGUCGUUCCUAAGCCGGGUGGUAAUCGUUCUUCGAAGCGGCGAAAGGGAAGCGGGUUAAAAUUCCUGCACACGGAUGUGGAGGCGGCAACGCAAAUUGAGUUGGAGACAUCAGCGGUAGCGNUAGGCAGA
rnacentral:rRNA from 1 species